GAAAAAGUUCCUAACUGUCAGGGUAGUUAAACACUGGAAUAGAUUGCCUAGGGAAGUUGUGGAAUCUCCAUCUCUGGAGAUAUUUAAGAGUAGGUUAGAUAAAUGUCUAUCAGGGAUGGUCUAGGCAGUAUUUGGUCCUGCCAUGAGGGCAGGGGACUGGACUCGAUGACCUCUCGAGGUCCCUUCCAGUCCUAGAGUCUAUGAGUCUA